AUUGAACGCUGGCGGCAUGCUUUACACAUGCAAGUCGAACGGCAGCACGGGUGCUUGCACCUGGUGGCGAGUGGCGGACGGGUGAGUAAUGCAUCGGAACGUGUCCUAAAGUGGGGGAUAACGCAUCGAAAGAUGUGCUAAUACCGCAUAUUCUCUGAGGAGGAAAGUAGGGGAUCGAAAGACCUUAUGCUUUUGGAGCGGCCGAUGUCUGAUUAGCUAGUUGGUAGGGUAAUGGCUUACCAAGGCGACGAUCAGUAGUUGGUCUGAGAGGACGACCAGCCACACUGGGACUGAGACACGGCCCAGACUCCUACGGGAGGCAGCAGUGGGGAAUUUUGGACAAUGGGCGCAAGCCUGAUCCAGCAAUGCCGCGUGAGUGAAGAAGGCCUCGGUUGUAAGCUCUUUCAGUUGAGAAGAAAAGUUAGUAGACUAAUAAUCAUGAUUCAUGACGGUAUCAACAGAAGAAG
rnacentral:rRNA from 1 species